rnacentral:rRNA from 1 species
AGAGUUUGAUCCUGGCUCAGGAUCAACGCUGGCGGCGUGCCUUAAGCAUGCAAGUCGAACGGCCCUCUUCGGGGGGUUCGUGGCGGACGGCUGAGGAAAACAGAAGGAACCGAUCCUCCCGAGGGGGAUAACCCGGUGAAAGCUGGGCUAAAACCGCGUACGCUGGAUCUCCGAGCGGGGAUCCAGGAAAAGCGUGAGCUGCGGGAGGGCGGGCUUCUGGCCCAUCAGAUAGUUGGGGGGGUAAGGGCCCACCAAGUCGAUGACGGGUUGCUGGUCUGAGAGGAUGAUCAGCCAGACUGGGACUGAGACACGGCCCAGACUCCUACGGGAGGCAGCAGCUAGGAAUCUUGCGCAAUGGGCGAAAGCCUGACGCAGCGACGCCGCGUGGGGGAUGACGGCCUUCGGGUUGUAAACCCCUUUUGGACGGGACGAGGAAGGACGGUACCGUCCGAAGAAGCCCCGGCUAACUACGUGCCAGCAGCCGCGGUAAGACGUAGGGGGCGAGCGUUGUCCGGAUUGACUGGGCGUAAAGGGCGCGUAGGCGGUCGUGUAGGUCGGGGGUGAAAGGCGCGGGCUUAACCCGCGGGAGCGUCCGAAACGGCACGACUGGAGGGCAGGAGAGGAAGGUGGAAUUCCGGGUGGAGUGGUGAAAUGCGUAGAGAUCCGGAGGAACACCAGAGGCGAAGGCGGCCUUCUAGACUGACCCUGACGCUGAGGCGCGAAAGCGUGGGGAGCGAACGGAAUUAGAUACCCCGGUAGUCC